GAUUCGUUAACCACUGCGCCAUGACGGGAACUCCAGAACCUGCCUUUCUAAUAGGUUCUCUGAAAAUUAGAUAACAGAAACCUCAUUUUAAAUGGAGUCAGGAGGUCAGAAUGGGAUACUCUCAUGUUUGACCACUAGAGGCCAACUUCAGGUCCAACAGGAAGAGAGGUACUCUACAUUCUCAACAGGAAGAAGGUUACAGCUUUACCACCCAGCAGGAGGAAGGAUUUCUCCUUAUAGGGCAAUAUCCCAGCCAGUAAGAGGUGGUCACCAUUCAGCCAAUGAAAACGCACUACACUUUUUCCCCAGUGGACUCUGUAACACUUCUUCCCAAACUGCUCUUCUCCUCUAUAAAAGAACAGGUCCUCUCUGUUCUCUGCACUUGCCUGUGGUUUGCCAUAGAUUGCAUGUCUCAAAUUGCAAUUCUUUGCUAUUGCAGAUAAACUCGUUUUGCUGGUAAAAUAAUAACUGGUCAUUUUAUUGUUUUAGGUCACCUGUUCUCAGGUGGUGCUGAUGCUGCAAGUCCAGGAAGCACACUUUGAGAACCACUCUUAGAGCAGCUUUUAGUGAAACACACAAUAAUCCUCAGGCCUUCUCCAAACUUUGGAUAGCAGGUUGUAUAAAAAAUUUGUUCUUUCAACAUCCAAGUUAUGGAAAUGGAAGCCUCGGGCUUGAGAACUGUUAUCUCCAAAAAGUGCCUAUUUUUGGAAAUCGACCCUUAAAACUUGAUUUUUUUUUUCUUUUCUUUCUGUUCUGCCCUAAAGCAAUGGUGUAAAACCACUGGACAGUCAGCAUGACCAGCCAUUAAUAAUGUAUAGUACUAAUAUUUUAUAACUAUUUAUCUCACUCCGUUGUUAUUUAUUAUUUUCUUAGGGGGAAAGUCAGAGAGCAUUGUCAGUUUAUCUACUCUUCCAAAAUCUCUGUGGGGUUGGAAAAUAGAAGAAGAACCUUACAUUCUAGAAAGGAAAUGGAACAAAGGGAGGUUUGCCGCGAGCAAGCUGUCUGGACCUCUGCUUCCCUCGUGUCAAGCUGGGGUGAAGAUAGCUACCUCCAGUCUCCAAUGAGAACUGAAUGAGAGAAUAUCCAAAAUGUGUAUCCAGUGAAAACUAAACCCAAUUAAUGCUCUCCAGGCCGGUCAUUUCCACCCUGUAGUAAAUCCUAUUCAACCAACAGAGUUCACAGGGGAUGCAAGGAAGGCGGGACACCACCUUGAAGAAAUGAUUAUGAUUUCCCAGACAGUUACAACUCUGGAGGCUUCUGAGUCGUGAAAAACAAGUUUGCAGGAUUUCCCAGCUGCCAGAUGCUUCAAAAUGAAGUUUUGGGAGUUCCUGUUGUGCCUCAGCGGGUCAAGGACCGAACAUUGUCUCUCUGAGGAUGUUGGUUCAAUACCUGGCCUCACUCAGUGGGUUAAGGAUCUGGCAUUGCUGCAAGCUGCAGCACAGGUUGCAGAUGCGGCUCAGAUCCCAGGGUUGUCAUGGCUAUGGCAAAGGACUCAGCUGCAGCUCCGAUUUGACCCCCAGCCUGGGAACUCCCAUAUGCCGGAGGCCGUCGGUGAGUGGUUCCGUCCUCAAGAAGGGAUACAGACUGACCAAUCAUAAUAGCCCAUCCCCUGGCCAUGGCGAUUGGGUUGGGGCUGGCCAUGUGACCUAAACUGAGCGGAGUCCUGAUACAGAUCGUGAAAGGGAGAUGGUUUUACUGUUUCUUCCUGGCUACUUAAGUGUGAUAAUGGUGGAACACUGGAGCUCCCCGGGGCUUUUUUCCCACUGCCCAGGAGAAGGUGAGCAAAGGAAAGCAGAAGAGUGAGAAAAGGGCCUUCAGAAAGUUGGGGGGGGUUGUUGAUGAGGGAAGCUGGGGUGGGGUGGUGGACGUGGGGAAGAAUUCUAAUGAUUCCAUCU